rnacentral:tRNA from 1 species
GCGCUCUUAGCUCAACUUGGAUAGAGCAACAGCCUUCUAAGCUGUAGGUUACAGGUUCAAUUCCUGUAGAGCGCACAA